rnacentral:rRNA from 1 species
GGGGGAAGGGGGGGCCGCCAUUAGCGUGUCUGGUCGGGCGCAUGGAAUAAAUUAGCUUGCUCUUAUGAAGUUAGCGGCGGACGGGUGAGUAACACGUGGGUAACCUGCCCAUAAGACUGGGAUAACUCCGGGAAACCGGGGCUAAUACCGGAUAACAUUUUGAACCGCAUGGUUCGAAAUUGAAAGGCGGCUUCGGCUGUCACUUAUGGAUGGACCCGCGUCGCAUUAGCUAGUUGGUGAGGUAACGGCUCACCAAGGCAACGAUGCGUAGCCCACCUGAGAGGGUGAUCGGCCACACUGGGACUGAGACACGGCCCAGACUCCUACGGGAGGCAGCAGUAGGGAAUCUUCCGCAAUGGACGAAAGUCUGACGGAGCGACGCCGCGUGAGUGAUGAAGGCUUUCGGGUCGUAAAACUCUGUUGUUAGGGAAGAACAAGUGCUAGUUGAAUAAGCUGGCACCUUGACGGUACCUAACCAGAAAGCCACGGCUAACUACGUGCCAGCAGCCGCGGUAAUACGUAGGUGGCAAGCGUUAUCCGGAAUUAUUGGGCGUAAAGCGCGCGCAGGUGGUUUCUUAAGUCUGAUGUGAAAGCCCACGGCUCACCCGUGGAGGGUCAUUGGAAACUGGGAGACUUGAGUGCAGAAGACGAAAGUGGAAUUCCAUGUGUAGCGGUUAAAUGCGUAGAGAUAUGGAGGAACACCCGUGGCAAGCGACUUUCUGGUUUGUAACUGAACUGAAGCGCGAAAACGUGGGGGAUCACAG